rnacentral:rRNA from 1 species
CCAAUUGUUGCCUCGGCGGAUCAGCCCGCUCCCGGUAAAACGGGACGGCCCGCCAGAGGACCCCUAAACUCUGUUUCUAUAUGUAACUUCUGAGUAAAACCAUAAAUAAAUCAAAACUUUCAACAACGGAUCUCUUGGUUCUGGCAUCGAUGAAGAACGCAGCAAAAUGCGAUAAGUAAUGUGAAUUGCAGAAUUCAGUGAAUCAUCGAAUCUUUGAACGCACAUUGCGCCCGCCAGUAUUCUGGCGGGCAUGCCUGUUCGAGCGUCAUUUCAACCCUCAAGCCCAGCUUGGUGUUGGGACUCGCGAGUUAAAUCGCGUUCCCCAAAUUGAUUGGCGGUCACGUCGAGCUUCCAUAGCGUAGUAGUAAAACCCUCGUUACUGGUAAUCGUCGCGGCCACGCCGUUAAACCCCAACUUCUGAAUGUUGACCUCGGAUCAGGUAGGAAUACCCGCUGAACUUAAGCAUAU